ensembl:snRNA U6 U6 spliceosomal RNA
CAACUCACCUCAGGAGCACACAUACUAAAGUUGGAAUGAUACAAAGAAUUAGCAUGGUCUCUGUGCAAGGAUGUCACGCAAAUGCAUGAAAAGUUCCAUAUUUUU